ensembl:snoRNA
UCCUUCUGCCUUAACAGAAGUCUGCUAUAAUUGCAUGAUCCAGAUCUCCUGUUUCAUGUAAUAAUGCUAGCAGAGUCCUACGCAGAAGAAGAUUAUUGUGCACUGCAGCUGAAACUGAGACGUGGUCGAACCUCUUUCUUAAUGUUCGUUGGCCGUCGUCUCGAGGUUGGGUGCAACAGUU